AUUUAAUUGAUGACUUGUAUGAAGGAUUGGAUGAAAUAUAAACUGUCUCUUAAUUAUUGAAUAGAAUUUAAUUUUUUAAUUAAAAAGUUAAAAUAUAUUAAAAAGACGAGAAGACCCUAUAGAUUUUUAUAAAAAAUUUAGUUAAUAUUAUUUAUGAAAAAUUAAAAUUAAAAUUAAAUUUAUUUAUUGUAUUGGGGUGAUAGAAAAAUAUAAAAAACUUUUUAUAUAUUAAAACAUUUAUAAGUGGUUAAAUGAUCCAAUAUUAUUGAUUAUAAGAAAAAAUUACCUUAGGGAUAACAGCGUAAUUUUUUUUUUUAGUUCGUAUAAGAAAAAGAGUUUGCGACCUCGAUGUUGGAUUAAGAUAAAAUUUAAAUGCAGAAG
rnacentral:rRNA from 1 species